GUGAAUCAUCGAAUCUUUGAACGCAAAUUGCACUUUCUGGUACUCCGGAAAGUAUGCCUGUUUGAGGGUCAGUUAAAUAAAAAUCGCUGUUGUUGCUGCUUUUCGUAGUGACGCGUCGGAAUUGGGUCGUCUUACCUUCGUAUAAGUAACUUAAAAUUAUUGCAUGAUUUUAGAACGUAUUUA
rnacentral:misc_RNA from 1 species